UACGUAGGGGGGCAAGCGUUGUCCGGAUUUAUUGGGCGUAAAGAGCUCGUAGGCGGUUUGUCGCGUCUGCUGUGAAAACUCAGGGCUUAACCCUGAGCUUGCAGUUGGGUACGGGCAGACUAGAGUGCGGUAGGGGAGACUGGAAUUCCUGGUGUAGCGGUGAAAUGCGCAGAUAUCAGGAGGAACACCGGUGGCGAAGGCGGGUCUCUGGGCCGUAACUGACGCUGAGGAGCGAAAGCAUGGGGAGCGAACAGG
rnacentral:rRNA from 1 species